rnacentral:lncRNA from 1 species
GCUCACCUCCUCUGAAGGCACCGGAGAACCUAGAGGUGGCUUAAGGAAGCGGCAUGGGUGGCAGAACGGUGGCCGCUGUGACGAGAGUCCCCUCUCGGGCAGAGAUAGGUUACCCUGUGCCGCCCCAGCUGUGACCUGCAGUCAAUGCUCCCUCUGACUUCGCUUUGGCCCCGCUCGGUGACAGCCUACCACAGACGUCGUAGACGGAGCUUAUGUGUCUGCAGCAGGGCACGUGGAGUGGAGAUUCCUCUCUCUCUCUCUCUCUCUCUCUCUCUCUCUCUCUCUCUCUCUCUCUCUGUCGUCCCCUAGAUGCUGUGACAUUUAAGUUUCAGUGUUUCUGGAAUAUGGAAUUACUCUGAAAAUGUGGUCAUUUAGUUCUGUGUCUUUCAUAAAGUGUUAUUAGCCACCUCUAUUUUGUGUAGGUUUGCUAAAUAUCCUUUUCUGGCUUAAGUGUGUGUAUGUUUUCUCAUUUGUUCACCAUAGUAAAACCUAAAAGCAAAACAACAACAAAAAAAGUAUCAAAACUGUUUAAUAAUCUGCUCUUAGUCUAAAAUCUCAAUUAUAUGGUUAUGUGCGGUUUGUAUUGUUCCAGUAAGAACAUAGCAUUACUCAUUCUAUUCACUAAAGAUUCACAUUGUGCCUUUAUAUAAGAGGACAAAGGAAAUGAUGGGUGGAGUUGAGAAAGGAUAAAAUAAUUCGUUUUUGAAGAUAUGUAUACUAGUAUUUCUGGCAGUGGAUUAAAUUUGUAAGCCAGAUCAUGAACUCACCUCCCAUAAUUACUACCAAAGAUCCUAGUGGCAAAACAAGUUCUAACUGGUCUCAAAAAGAGGGAGAUUGCUGAGAAAGUAUGCCCAAAUGUGUCACUUAUCUCAAACUAAAGAUGAAAUAAAAAUUGUUGAUUACAUCAUAAGCUUUCAAGUCUAUUAUAGUCUAUGUGGUACAUGCAAAUUCUAUAUGAUUGGGAAAGUUUCUUAGUAUUUAGAACUUCUAAACCUGCCCACUAACAGGUUCCUUCAAACUUUAAAGGUUAAUAGAUUAAAUGGGCAUGCCCUCCAACUUAGAAUAGUUUAUAAUUUUUUAUGGGAAAAUAACUAGCACUUUCACAAAUCAAUAACAGAACACAGGACUUUCUGCAUCUAUAAUAGUAGUAAUGGUGAAAUUCAUUUUCUUUUCUGUACUGUGGCGUGAACUUUGAGCCUCACACACACUAAGCAAGAAUUCUACCACUGAACUAAGUCUCUGAUUAAUUCAUUAAAAGGUAGUUGUGUAGGGGGACUAUGAAGUCUUAAGAUUUCAUGGAUUACUACAUUUUACUAAAUAUUAGUACUAAGAUUACUGAAAAAUAAUGAAAUUAUUAGUCAGUUGUAGAUGCUUGUUUUCCAGUUAUUCAAUACAUAUAUUCCUCUCCCAGAUUCCAUAAGCUAUAACAAUUAAAAUGUAUACAAGAAAAACUUUACUGUCCCCAGUUCCCACAAUUUUCCUUUCUGUGACUUCCAUUUCCAUAUUAUCCAUGGUCCAAAAAUAUUAAAUAGAAACUUCAAGUUAGAAAGUAUAUAUAUGAUAAUAUUCCAUUGUAUACAUGUGGUAUUCUGAAGGAUAAAGAAAGUUAAAGUUCCUCAAGGUAAAUCAUUCCAAAGUUUUGCAUGCACACCAUUCUUAGUGUAAUACAAUCACAUGUAAUCCCAUUUGGUCCUGCCUGCACUGAGAAUCAUUCCCCUGUUCAGCACACCGAACCGAAGCAGCCAUCCCUUAGUCACUGAACAUUAUCUUGGUCAUCAGGGCAGUUGUCCCAGUACCAAGUGCUUAGUAGUAGCAAUUCAGCUAUGCCAAAGAGAAGCUGUAAAAUUCGCCCAACAGUGAAAAAGUAAAAGAGCUCUCUGGUGUUACUAAUGAGUACAGUGAGAACUAAUAAGGAAAGUCUAUAUAAGAUUUGAGACUGUAAAAUUUCUAGUAUACAUUGGGAGUUUUAGAAUCAAUAGUGGAAUUGCCAUAUUACAGUAUAUGGCACUAUUACACUAUAGAAAAAUCUCAAAAGUCAUUCUAAAAUUGAGUAUCAAGGAAACUUUUCUGGAUACUAGAAGUAAAGUAGCAGUUUCAAACAUUAGCACUUUAUCUUAGAGGAAAAAGUUUUGUUUAUUUGUGACGAAUUGGAGUUGGCCAGGAGUUUAUUGUGUUUAUUUGGAUUUAAUAAUUAAAAAUAAAAGUUUACCAUCUAAAACAAAAUAAAAGGUAAACAUAGUUUCAUUAUGAAGGUGAAAUAUGUUCAUCAGAAAAAAUCAAAUUUAAGAUUUUUUUCUACAGGUAGUGUAUUUACACUUUACUAACUUCUGCUUUUCCUUUAUCAGAAUUUUAAUAUAAAUAAGACAAAAUCUUACUGGGCUUUGCUGGGGCAAGAAAAUACUCAGCUCUAGACACUUUCAGAAUGGAUUAUACCACUAAGGCUUAGUUCACAGGUCUGACUGGCUAAUGUCCAGAACUAAAACCCACUCCAUUAAGGAUGUGUUUAAGUACCCUUUCAAAUAUACUUAAUACCACCAAAUAGUGUACUUUUCAGUGGAUAAAAUGGUGGACAUUGUAUGUAUUUUACUGCAAGUAAGAAGUUGGGUAGAAAGUGAAGCUUUGAUUUUAGCCAAUAAUUUCCUCAAAGAAAGCUAAAUCAUCAAGAUGAACUUCAAGAGGCAGGCAGAUUUCUGAAUUCAAGGCCACCCUGGUCUACAAUGAUAGUUCCAGGAUAGCCAGGGUUAUACAGAGAAAGCCUGUCUCGGAAAAAAACAAAAACAAAAACAAAAAAAAACAACAAAAAAAAGAUGAACUUCAGAUUGCAUCACUGUCCUAGGAUCAUCAUAACUAAGUACCAUAAACUCUGGGCUAAAACUACACAUUUAUAUCUCAUGAGGCUAGAAAUCCAAAAUCAACUUGGCAGUAAAACAAGCAUCUACAACUGACUAAUAAUUUCAUUAUUUUUCAGUAAUCUUAGUACUAAUAUUUAGUAAAAUGUAGUAAUCCAUGAAAUCUUAAGACUUCAUAUUCCUAACAUUUCCUCUGGAAACUCUUUAGGUCCACUCUUAUUCCUAAACUCCUAAAUUAGCUUCUUUUAUUAUUGCAGAAACAAAAUUACAGACAAAAGCAACUUACAAGGUAUAUAUUUGGGCUUCUUUGAUGGUAGUUGUUCAUCGUGGCCGGGAAAUAAUAAUAUUAGGACCUUGUGGCAGCAGGUUACAUUGCAUCUUCAGGAAACAGGGUGAUAAUGGUGGUACUCAGCUAGCUGACUCCUUUUUCAGUCCAGGACCCCAACCCAGGGAAUGAUACUACCAAGUUACAAUGGGUCUACCUCCUCAAUUAUCCUAAUACAGAAAAUUCUUCAAACACCUGCCUUGGGGCUUUGUUUUCAUGGUGAUUCUAAAUCUCACCAACUUGGCAAUCAAGACUGUUUAUCACACCCCCAGCUUUCUCCACUUUUUCCUGAGGGUUCCAAUAUAUACCACCACCUACAUAUUCUCUCAUAGAUAGGAGAUAAUUUCUCAGGUCUAUACUGAAAAUUUACAAAUGUAGAAAAUCAUAACUUACUUACAUAGUUUCUUAUUUGAUAAAAAGGAAACCUGGGAUGACAACAAAAAAGGUUCUGAAUUGUAAAGAAAGUACCAAAUUUUUUUCUUAAUUUGUAGAAUGAUUUUUUUAAAAAGGAAUUACUGCUAGAUAUGAGAAGUGAAAGUUUUGUUAAAUAAAAAACUAAUAUUAAGU